rnacentral:rRNA from 1 species
AGAGUUUGAUCCUGGCUCAGAUUGAACGCUGGCGGCGUGCCUAACACAUGCAAGUCGAACGUGAACGGGGGCAACCCUUAGUAAAGUGGCGUACGGGUGAGUAACACGUAGGUAAUCUACCGAAGAGUCUGGAAUAACCUGCCGAAAGGCGGGCUAAUACUGGAUAGAGCGACGGAAUCCGUAAUUGGGUUUCUCGGGAA